rnacentral:rRNA from 1 species
UCGAUUUGGAGUUUNUUUGCCUAGAAGUGAUGGGCUCCCGAANCUAACGCGAUAAAUCCGACCGCCUGGGGAGUACGNCCGCAAGGUUAAAAACUCAAAUGAAUUGACGGGGGCCCGCACAAGCGGUGGAGCAUGUGGUUUAAUUCGAUGCAACGCGAAGAACCUUACCUGGUCUUGACAUCCACAGAAUCUUGCAGAGAUGCGAGAGUGCCUUCGGGAACUGUGAGACAGGUGCUGCAUGGCUGUCGUCAGCUCGUGUUGUGAAAUGUUGGGUUAAGUCCCGCAACGAGCGCAACCCUUAUCCUUUGUUGCCAGCGGUUCGGCCGGGAACUCAAAGGAGACUGCCAGUGAUAAACUGGAGGAAGGUGGGGAUGACGUCAAGUCAUCAUGGCCCUUACGAGUAGGGCUACACACGUGCUACAAUGGCGCAUACAAAGAGAAGCGACCUCGCGAGAGCAAGCGGACCUCAUAAAGUGCGUCGUAGUCCGGAUCGGAGUCUGCAACUCGACUCCGUGAAGUCGGAAUCGCUAGUAAUCGUAGAUCAGAAUGCUACGGUGAAUACGUUCCCGGGCCU